rnacentral:rRNA from 1 species
GAACAUACCCUUUACUACGGAACAACUCCGGGAAACUGGAGCUAAUACCGUAUGUGCCCUUCGGGGGAAAGAUUUAUCGGUAAAGGAUUGGCCCGCGUUGGAUUAGCUAGUUGGUGGGGUAAAGGCCUACCAAGGCGACGAUCCAUAGCUGGUCUGAGAGGAUGAUCAGCCACAUUGGGACUGAGACACGGCCCAAACUCCUACGGGAGGCAGCAGUGGGGAAUAUUGGACAAUGGGCGCAAGCCUGAUCCAGCCAUGCCGCGUGAGUGAUGAAGGCCUUAGGGUUGUAAAGCUCUUUCACCGGAGAAGAUAAUGACGGUAUCCGGAGAAGAAGCCCCGGCUAACUUCGUGCCAGCAGCCGCGGUAAUACGAAGGGGGCUAGCGUUGUUCGGAAUUACUGGGCGUAAAGCGCACGUAGGCGGAUAUUUAAGUCAGGGGUGAAAUCCCAGAGCUCAACUCUGGAACUGCCUUUGAUACUGGGUAUCUUGAGUAUGGAAGAGGUUAGUGGAAUUGCGAGUGUAGAGGUGAAAUUCGUAGAUAUUCGCAGGAACACCAGUGGCGAAGGCGGCUAACUGGUCCAUAACUGACGCUGAGGUGCG